CUGCAGGAAGAAAGAGAGAGAGCGAGAGAUGGUGAGGAAGUGAGGGACACACUCCCAAAUACACAAGGCUGAGAGGGAGAGGAAGAGUGUGCCGGGGGAAGUGGAGGAAAACAGCUGUGAAAAAGUAAAGGGAAAGAAAGUGUUCAAGUAUUUUCAGGUGGAUUUCUCCUUUCCAGAGCUGGCUCAAGUGUCAUAAGAGCAGUUCUCAGGGGGAAGCAGUGUUGAGGAGGGGAGGAAAGGCACUACAGUGGCAGCAGAGGACAGGAGGAAAAGGACAGAGUGUCGAGGUUGGAGCCCACACUGGAAUGGCUGGUGGCGCUGGCGACGCUGCUGACGCUGUCGGAGGAGUGCUGCCUCCUGAUGCGCAGGUCCGGCUGCUGAUUCUGCUGCUGCUGCUGUGGACUGCUGUU